UUAACUUCUUCAUCAUCGAUCAUUAUGCGAGCACUAUUAACAAGAAUGCAACAACUAACAUGCAACAUACCGAUGCAGUAACAAAACAGCAAGCAUUUCAAAUAAACAAUGAUAGCAUGCGAAACAUAGCAAUACCAAGAACUAGCAAAACUUAUCAGUGCAACAGAAUUAUCAUAGCAUCGUUACUACUAACAUGAACUAAACUAGACAGAGGCAUGAUAUUAUCAGUAACAACAACAAACUAGCAUGUCAACUAUUUCAUGAGAGCACAAACAUGCAAGACAGAUAACAAAAGCAUAUAGCACGAAUGAAAUGACAACAGACGGAACAAACAAGAAACUACUGCAACUAAACACACACACGAGGUGCAAGCAAAGUCAACAUGCAAGUUCAGGGCUCAUUAUAAGAGGUUGGCUUGCCUCGGGUCGAGAAAUACUUCGGGAAAAAUGUGGAAUGAUCGCGGAAAGAUUUGCCAGAAAUAGUUCUCUCUAGGAGGGGGCUGUUCACGGGCAAGGGUAAAGUGGUCAUUUUCACUGUGUGAAAACAUAAUGAAAAUGAUACCAAUGGAAAGAGUUCGAUGAGACGAAGACGUGAGCGUUGGUUUCACAUCAAUCGGAGUUACGGUUGUCGAGAUACGCAGGGUUGAAGUUCAGGGACCUAUCGGUGAAAGUUUUCCAGCAAACAGGCCCCUGGAGGAAAAACUGAACGCGCCUUUCUCAGAAAUAUGCUUUCCAGAGAGGAAAGCGCAUUCUGGCCCGAAGAGGAAGCGAAUACGCUUUCGGUUAAGGGAAGCGCAUUUUCGGGAGUACGUGGUCACUUAUCCACGUCAGCGCCUGGGGUCAACCCCUAGUGCGACUGACGGGUGGGCCUUGCGGAGGUGGGACCCGCCUGGCUUGCGUCUUCAACCUCCCGCUCGCACGCCCGCCGGGAAGAGGGAGGUUCUCUCCUCGACGGCGAUAGCCGGCGCAUCCGGCCACCGCUCGCGACGGCCGACCUACCCACGGGUUCAGGAGCGAGAGGCGCAUCCCGUGGUGUUGUCAGCUGCCGUCGAGGGGCACUAGGGAAGGAGCAGCAAGGUGGGCGGCGGAGCAGGGCUUCGGCCUCCGGCGAACAGGGGGCUCCGGUGGGGAAUGGGGUGGGCAAGGCAACGGGGAGGCUCACCGGACCCUGGGGAAGGCAGUGGUGGAGGUGGAGCGGCGAGAGGGGAGCGGCAUCGCCGGAAUCGAGCGGAGCCCAAGGCGGCGGCCGUGGCAAUGGGGAGGGGUCAGAGAGCUCCUCGAGCUCGAGCUAGAGGUUCGGGGGGGCUUGUGGACUGCGAGGGGCUCGGGGGCGGGCUUAAAUAGACGUGGGGAAGGCUCGAGGGGGAGGGGAUGAGGUGACACGCGGCAGGCGACGUGUCCGUGCGCCGGCGAUGGCCAUGCGCGGCCAAGGCUCACGGGAAGCAACGGGAAGGCGACGAGGGGGAUGCGGACGACGCGCGGGAGGACAAGAGGGGGAAACGGACAGGAGCGAGGAAACGACGACGAGCUCACGGAUAGGGACGGUUCACCGACGGUGACGGCUCGUCGAGGAAGCAAACGAAGGGGAAACGGGCCAAGACGCACGGCGAGGAUGAGGCUGAGUUGGUUGACAAGGUUGGACGAGCCAAAGCCAGCCGGAGCUGCGCCACUGUGGCCAACAGCGGCGAGACCAACGAUUUGGCCUGCAUAGCCCCAUGGUCACCACCGACUUUGCGCUCUCUAGUCGUCAACUAAGGGCCAAACCUUGUCUACAGCGUAGUCCUUCCAAAGCUCAUUAAGACUUAGGUGAUGGCACAGGCAGAGGUGUAGAGAGCAGAGGGAACCAAGCUCGACAAGUUUGCUGUUGCAAACUUGGCCACAUCUUGGUGAUCAAACCAGAGAGGUUAAGGGCGAAGAUUGAUGUCCUGGAGGUUUAAGCUAGCAAGGACUACGGUCCUGGGAAGUUGGAGGGGAUUUGGACAAAGAUUUAGCAUAGUUGUAGUGCAACGGCCAAAUCUGGUCCAGAAACCAAAUGAUGAAGGAGCACUCACUAGGAGUGUUGGAUUGGGCUAAAACUUGGCAAAGCUUCCUAAUUUGGUCAUAUAAUGAUGCUGUAAAAAUAUCAUACCAAAUGGACUUGCCAAAUUGGUACUUUUUUCACAAGCAUCACAUCUGACCAGAAACUUUGGAAAAAUCCAGGGAAAUAUUGGCUACAUGAAAUGAGCCAAAAGUUGGUCUAGGUGGGUUAUUUGGAUAGGAGAAGAAUUGGGAAUAUUUUCAGCCAUAAUGGAGCAAGAUAAAAUGUACUUGCUUCACAAACUGAAAAUUUGGACAGAAACCAAGAAUUGCUCCUGUGCUCACAUAGUUCAAUGAAUUGAACUGAAUUUAGGUGGAGGCUAAUGAUUUGGAAUACUUGAGAAGAUGGAAAAGUUUCAUCCCAUUUGGAAACUCUAUGAAGGUACUUCCUUCACAAGCAUGCCAUCUGGUCAGAAACUUUGAAAAAUUGCACAGGGAGCUAGGAUGAAUGGAUUGAGCUCAUCUUUGGUAUCCAUGGGUGAUUUAUCAAGGUUAAUCACCUUGCCAAAUUGCAGCUCAAUUGGAAUUAGGAAUAAAGCACUUCCUUUGCAAAAAUUUCAAAGAGGGCAGAAACUUGCAUUGGAUCAUGUGCUCAAAUUAUGAUCUUUGGAACAUGGGUUUGGAUGGAACUAGUGAUUAUAUAGCAAGGACAAGCUCCACAAUUUAUGUGAGAAUUUUCCCUGCUAUAAAAAUAGUAGUUCCUUUAGAAAGUGGCAGAAAUGCAAUAUUGGUAUUAAAUAGGAAAAUGCAGUUUUCCAUAUUUAAUUAUGGCCAAUAUCUUUGCCAGAGCUUGGAUUAGGCAUAAAUAUCAACUCCACCAAUUCUCAUGAAUUUAGGAGAUGGCUAGCUAUGCCUUUGGAUUUUAUUCCUCAGAAAGGCAAGAAAAGGAAUAAAUCAUAAUUCAAAAAUAUUGCAUGGGACUUAGCAAUAUUUUUGCAUAUCCAAGGAUUAGUAGGAUAGGAGGGUCUCCAGGAAUAGAUGGGACGAUCAACAGAUUGAGGAAAAUGAUGGCUCCUUUGUAUUCACAAAGGGCACAUUCAAAUUCCAAAGAUUGGAACUAGGGUUUGAAAGGAUUUGAGAUGAUGCAAAAGAGGUCUUGCCCACUGACAAAGACAUGAGCAAGGUUUUGAAAGGUUGGAAAUGGCAAAAGUUUCUCAGAGUCAUCCAGCAAACUCAGGAGGAAAUUUUGAAAAUGAGUGCCAGGAAGGAAUAACAGCUCAAAAAUUGAUAACCCAAUUUUGGGGUUGUUACAAACCUUCCCCCCUUAAAAAGAAUCUCGUCCUCGAGAUUCCUAGGGUUACAGCACAAAUGAAAGGGUAACCACUCCGGGGAAAAACCUCGGGGUUAAUUUUAACCCUUUGGUUGGAUUCGAAAGAGUUGGGGGCACCGAUAAUUGGUACACCCGGAGAGAUAUGGGCAAACACGGUUAAAAAUCCACGGCUAGGGCACUCGAGAUCAGACUCUCGAAAAAUUGCUAGAUGCACCCUAGUGAAUAGUGGAUUCACCUGCUGACACGUGGGUCCAGGGCCCACUGGCAGCCUCCUUCUUCUACCUCCGGCUAGCUGCUUCUUCGGUGAUGCUGCUUCGUGUGCGGCUUAGCGCAGUGCGCAUCUAGCCCCUAGGGCGAUGAGGACCCUAGUGUCGUAGUGCGCGGCAUGCACGGCGCCGGUGCAGCGAGCACUCACGUUGCGGGCCAGCACCUUGUCGGCACUGCGCGGAUUCGCCUCCUGGAUGCCGGUGAUCGAGCGACGAGUGGUUCUCGUGGACCUCGCUCAUCGUACACCGGGGUUGGGCUAUGAAAGACGGCAGCGCGGCUCUCCUCCAACGCACAAACACAAUGCCGCUCUACUACCUCUUCGGUUUGGGCGAGAUCGAGCCGAGCUCCUUCGGCGAGGAGGUGUUCUUGGUGGCGCUGCGGUGAUUCCUAGCUGCGCUGCUGGGCACGCUGAUUGGCUCGUCGAUCAUCCUGCUGACGAUCAUCAGGUACGAGCGAGCUCGAGGCAACGCGCGGCCAGCUGCGGUGGCUUGAGGUGUGGAAGAAGAUGGUGCACGGGGUGGUCCUCCGCCACGCUUGAUUCUCCGACGCUUCGUGCCGGCGGAGUAAUCGCGUGCUGCGGGGGAGCGGUGGUGGCGACUCGGCUGCGCUACCCUAGGCAGUGAUGGUGCGGGUGGUGGGGUCCAGAUGCAGGUGAGGUGACUGCGCCAGCUCAGCAUCACACUGGGGUACAAGGAAGAUUUCGUGGAUUGCUCCACGAAAAAGUAGGUGUCGAGGUAGAAUCGGAGUUGAAAUCUGUAUUGUGGUAGAUGUACUGGAUUGAAUGAAAUAAAGUUGGCAGCGUUCCUCCGGAAAUGAAAUCGGGAAAAAGAAUUGGAGACAAGGAACUGCCAGACGGAAAUGCCUCUGCGAGGCUCUGGUUUUGGAAAAUCUGGCACACGGGGUAUGCACAGAUAGAGAUAGGGAUGCGUGACUUUGCUUUCCCCCGAGUACUGCCCGAAUGUACUCGUGGGUGAACCGGGUAUGCAUGCAGUAUGCAGUACACACAAACUAACAAACAAACCAAUGCAACAAACAUGCAAUGCAAACACAACAGACAAAUCAUUCUAAGGUGUUUUAAUGCUAGUGGGUAUAUGUAAUCCUGGCAUACAUAUACCUACACCAGCGCGCAUUUUAUUAAAGACUCGGGACGAGCCAAUGUUGUUUUUAGUGUAUGUGCUCUACUGAUUAAAGUCUUGUUAGCAACACAUUGCCAACCCUGUCAAACAUCUCUGCUUGACAGAGAGACAAACAAGCGCGAAAACAAAAGCACGAAAACACACACAGCAUACGGAUUACAGCAUACAACAAAGCACGAACGCUCUACGCGCUAAACGAAAUUACUUACUCCGGGAUACACAGUUCUAUCCUCAUAUCGAGGAUGAACCGACAGACCGACCUACUCGCAGAAACACCUAACUGCGUGACUGAGGUCAUGCAGAGGGCUGGCCUUGCUGGGGCUCUCCGGGAGGACGAAGACUGAGCCAAUCUCCAUCUUCAUCGUCUGACGGCACUAUGGGUUGGGGUUCGACUACUGGGGGUGUGGCUGAAAUCGAUCCAAGCAAAUGCUGCUCGUGGAUCCGUAAAAGAGCCUUGUCGAGGGUGACGAUGUUUGGUCUAGGCCACAACACAGGCUAAGAGGGUAGCAUUGGUUCGGAUGGCAUGGGGUGGAUGGCUUGAGAUGCGAAUUUACGAGCCUCACGAUAAGCUUCCUUGACAACUCGUACCGCAUCGUUGUCCAGGGUUCUAAACUCGGCAAGCAUCUUGGAAAUCAUCAUCCCCUGGGCAGUGAUAUACUGCACCAGGCGAGCGAUUGCGGGGUCAUCUCCUUGGAUAGUGGGAGAAGGCUGAAUUCCCGCUUCUGCCACAAUGGGGAAAAAGCAGAACUCCCGCCUUUGUGCCACUUGCGGAAACUUGGUUUGGAGGUAUAGGGUGGCCUCCACGGCAGCGGCCUGAAUGGCUAAAUCAGCGGUAGGCAUGGCUCUACCCUGAAAAACCAAAGGCUGGCCAUCUACUGCGGGACCUGGGCUGAUGUGCACUCUUGCAUCAUAGCGAUGAAGGUGAGGGACGGGUGUCGACUGGAACACCAGGUAAUCAGGGCUAGCCUUACAACCAAAGGCUUUGGUGAGCAUCUCGGUAAGAAGGGGUGGAAAGCCAGUGUGGUUGAUGGCAAAGGUGCGGCUGUGAAACUUGGGAGCUUUGAAGGUGCUAGCCAUGGCUGGGGUGUUACUAGCGAGGCUUCUCUACAAGGACAUGGCUGAUUGAGGGGUGAACGAUACGGCUAGCGGAAAGGGGGCUUUUAUAGGCAGCUAUGCCGGACAUGACCGCAUGGUGUGGCUCCCUUUCCUUAAUGGCGAAGGGCAUGCGGUGCGGCCGACCGGAAAAGAUAGGGUUGCUAUUCAAUCCACGGAUAACUAGGCGGGGACAGUGGGGUGAGGACGUGUCGGUCCCGACUGCGCCACCUGUUGACUAACAGUGGCCAUGCCGGAUGCCACGGAUGGGUCUAAUCUCUUAGGGCCAUUACGGUUUAAUGGUAGAGGUGAUCUAAUGCUAGGAUAACCUAUGCCAGCCUGGCUGCUCUGAUACCAUCUCCUGUGGCACCCCGAUCCGCAUGGAGCAGGGGGCCUUCGCACGUCAGCCCAGGAUUACGCCUGACGCACGAUAGGUCCAUGAUACAGCAUUCCAGGUACAAUAAUAUUCAUCAAGUACAUGUGUAUAUGAUUACAUCAUUGAUGAAUACAAUUAUCUGGCAUAGCCCUAAGGCUAUACGGAUGGCAGCGGAAGUCUAUUUAAAUGGCGGCGGAAUUCUUGGUUUGGCAGCGUCUCAUCUAGGCUGGGCUCCACAACUCACAGGACUGGCAAGAUUACGGCCUAGCACGACGAAACAAACGAACGAGUAGGGCACGACCUACAAAACUGGCAUGACACGCCAGGUCAGUACAUUGAAUGUACUUGCAAGACAACCAAAUACAUAGCAUCCAAACAAACAGAUGACAAAGCAAGAACCAAGCAUAUGAAACAACCUACCUCAUAGCAGAAACUAAGCAUGGCAAUGGCAUAUCAAACUUACUUCUAACAUGGCUACCGCAAAGCAUAACAUAUCAAAACAUGGCAUACCAAAGCAUGGCAUAAAUUCAGUCAAAGCAUGGCAUGGCAUCAUGAAACACUGCUGAAAAUAAACUACCAGUCAUAUCCGAUGCAAACAUAACAUGUUAACUUUAUGCAACCAUCUACUGUUCUACCAUAGUUCCUUAAAGGCAAAUAACACUUACUACUCGUGCAAUGCAAACAAAAUGUGCAUCGAGUCCCUCGGACUCUCUUACCAGUGGGUUGCCUCGCAAUCAAACGAUGAUCAUGCACGGAUCACCAACGGAACCACACUUGGUUCAACACUCACCGAGACCCAUGUCUCAUGAUCAUACCAACUCAUCAUCGUGAUUACUCACGACUGUCUCACAGUCCAAGUCACCACAUUAUUUCACAUUAUUCAUAUUCUUAGUUAUAUUAGGUUUAUCCUCCAUUUCUAUCGAGACCUGAUAGUGUGACCUACUACGAACUUGUGCCCAUGACCGAGGACGCGGCUAUCGAUAGAUUUAACACACACACUCUGCAGAGGUAGCGCAUUGUACCCACACCACGAAACCCAUGGCCUCGCACUCCCAUUCGGGUGGACCAACGGCAUUCCGACAAAAGCGAUCUAUUGCCAUGACACUCUCCCGGCCACUCCGACCAACACCCCUUUUGGGUUCAGUCCUGGGUGGGCCAUGCCUACCAAAGGUCUUACGGCCACCGUCGUGGCAAAAACGGCCCCAAACGGGGACAAAGCGCGCAAAACAACUCGGGCUCACAAGGUUCAUGUCCGCCUACCUGAUCAGGGUAGCGCGUGCCCAUAACCUUCCCUACGUUGGAGGCACCGGCGAGAGGCAUGACAAUAGACCUGUUAGGGCCUUCCCAUUCCAAGGCAAAUGUGGCUGCACUGGAAAAAGCCCGAUUUGGUGGCACUAUGACAUCCCAGUGAUGACGGAGGAGGUUUGUUAUCCAGUCAUAUUAUUAACUUCUCCAUCAUCGAUCAUUAUGCGAGCAUUAUUAACAUGAAUGCAACAACUAACAGGCAACAUACCGAUGCAGUAACAAAAUAGCAAGCAUUUCAAAUAAACAAUGAUAGCAUGCGAAACAUAGCAAUACUAAGAACUAGCAAAACUUAUCUGUGCAACAGAAUUAUCAUAGCAUUGUUACUACUAACAUGAACUAAACUAGACAGAGGCAUGAUAUUAUCAGUAACAACAACAAACUAGCAUGUCAACUAUUUCAUGAGAGCACAAACAUGCAAGACCGAUAACAAAAGCAUAUAGCACGAAUGAAAUGACAGUAGACAGAACAAACAAGAAACUACUGCAACUAAACACACACACGAGGUGCAUCAACAUGCAAGUUCGGGGCUCAUGAUAAGAGGUUGGCUUGCCCGGGGUCGAGAAAUACUUUGGGAAAAAGUGUGGAAUGAUCGCGGA
rnacentral:lncRNA from 1 species